AAUGGGCGCAAGCCUGAUCCAGCCAUGCCGCGUGAGUGAUGAAGGCCCUAGGGUCGUAAAGCUCUUUCGCCAGGGAUGAUAAUGACAGUACCUGGUAAAGAAACCCCGGCUAACUCCGUGCCAGCAGCCGCGGUAAUACGGAGGGGGUUAGCGUUGUUCGGAAUUACUGGGCGUAAAGCGCGCGUAGGCGGACUAGUCAGUCAGAGGUGAAAUCCCAGGGCUCAACCCUGGAACUGCCUUUGAUACUGCUAGUCUUGAGUUCGAGAGAGGUGAGUGGAAUUCCGAGUGUAGAGGUGAAAUUCGUAGAUAUUCGGAGGAACACCAGUGGCGAAGGCGGCUCACUGGCUCGAUACUGACGCUGAGGUGCGAAAGUGUGGGGAGCAAACAGGAUU
rnacentral:rRNA from 1 species